AUUGAACGCUGGCGGCAGGCCUACCACAUGCAAGUCGAGCGGAUGAAGGGAGCUUGCUCCUGGAUUCAGCGGCGGACGGGUGAGUAAUGCCUAGGAAUCUGCCUGGUAGUGGGGGAUAACGUCCGGAAACGGGCGCUAAUACCGCAUACGUCCUGAGGGAGAAAGUGGGGGAUCUUCGGACCUCACGCUAUCAGAUGAGCCUAGGUCGGAUUAGCUAGUUGGUCGGGUAAAGGCCUACCAAGGCGACGAUCCGUAACUGGUCUGAGAGGAUGAUCAGUCACACUGGAACUGAGACACGGUCCAGACUCCUACGGGAGGCAGCAGUGGGGAAUAUUGGACAAUGGGCGAAAGCCUGAUCCAGCCAUGCCGCGUGUGUGAAGAAGGUCUUCGGAUUGUAAAGCACUUUAAGUUGGGAGGAAGGGCAGUAAGUUAAUACCUUGCUGUUUUGACGUUACCAACAGAAUAAGCACCGGCUAACUUCGUG
rnacentral:rRNA from 1 species